AGUGAACGCUGGCGGUAGGCCUAACACAUGCAAGUUGAACGGCAGCACAGUAAGAGCUUGCUCUUACGGGUGGCGAGUGGCGGACGGGGGAGGAAUACAUCGGAAUCUACUUUUUCGUGGGGGAUAAAGUAGGGAAACUUACGCUAAUACCGCAUACGACCUACGGGUGAAAGCAGGGGAUCUUCGGACCUUGCGCGAUUGAAUGAGCCGAUGUCGGAUUAGCUAGUUGGCGGGGUAAAGGCCCACCAAGGCGACGAUCCGUAGCUGGUCUGAGAGGAUGAUCAGCCACACUGGAACUGAGACACGGUCCAGACUCCUACGGGAGGCAGCAGUGGGGAAUAUUGGACAAUGGGCGCAAGCCUGAUCCAGCCAUACCGCGUGGGUGAAGAAGGCCUUCGGGCUGUAAAGCCCUUUUGUUGGGAAAGAAAAGCAGCAGGUUAAUACCCCGCUGUUCUGACGGUACCCAAAGAAUAAGCACCGGCUAACUUCGUG
rnacentral:rRNA from 1 species